rnacentral:rRNA from 1 species
CCUACGGGGGGCUGCAGUGGGGAAUAUUGGACAAUGGGGGGAACCCUGAUCCAGUCAUGCCGCGUGUGUGAAGAAGGCCCUCGGGUUGUAAAGCACUUUCAGUGAGGAAGAACGCCUGGUGGUUAAUACCCAUCAGGAAAGACAUCACUCACAGAAGAAGCACCGGCUAACUCCGUGCCAGCAGCCGCGGUAAUACGGAGGGGCGAGCGUUAAUCGGAAUUACUGGGCGUAAAGCGCGCGUAGGUGGCUUGAUAAGCCGGUUGUGAAAGCCCCGGGCUCAACCUGGGAACGGCAUCCGGAACUGUCAAGCUAGAGUGCAGGAGAGGAAGGUAGAAUUCCCGGUGUAGCGGUGAAAUGCGUAGAGAUCGGGAGGAAUACCAGUGGCGAAGGCGGCCUUCUGGACUGACACUGACACUGAGGUGCGAAAGCGUGGGUAGCAAACAGGAUUAGAUACCCUUGUAGUC